rnacentral:rRNA from 1 species
GGUUAAGCGACUAAGCGUACACGGUGGAUGCCCUGGCAGUCAGAGGCGAUGAAGGACGUGCUAAUCUGCGAUAAGCGUCGGUAAGGUGAUAUGAACCGUUAUAACCGGCGAUUUCCGAAUGGGGAAACCCAGUGUGAUUCGUCACACUAUCAUUAACUGAAUCCAUAGGUUAAUGAGGCGAACCGGGGGAACUGAAACAUCUAAGUACCCCGAGGAAAAGAAAUCAACCGAGAUUCCCCCAGUAGCGGCGAGCGAACGGGGAGGAGCCCAGAGCCUGAAUCAGUGUGUGUGUUAGUGGAAGCGUCUGGAAAGGCGCGCGAUACAGGGUGACAGCCCCGUACACAAAAAUGCACAUGCUGUGAGCUCGAUGAGUAGGGCGGGACACGUGGUAUCCUGUCUGAAUAUGGGGGGACCAUCCUCCAAGGCUAAAUACUCCUGACUGACCGAUAGUGAACCAGUACCGUGAGGGAAAGGCGAAAAGAACCCCGGCGAGGGGAGUGAAAAAGAACCUGAAACCGUGUACGUACAAGCAGUGGGAGCCUCUUUAUGGGGUGACUGCGUACCUUUUGUAUAAUGGGUCAGCGACUUAUAUUCUGUAGCAAGGUUAACCGAAUAGGGGAGCCGAAGGGAAACCGAGUCUUAACUGGGCGUUAAGUUGCAGGGUAUAGACCCGAAACCCGGUGAUCUAGCCAUGGGCAGGUUGAAGGUUGGGUAACACUAACUGGAGGACCGAACCGACUAAUGUUGAAAAAUUAGCGGAUGACUUGUGGCUGGGGGUGAAAGGCCAAUCAAACCGGGAGAUAGCUGGUUCUCCCCGAAAGCUAUUUAGGUAGCGCCUCGUGAAUUCAUCUCCGGGGGUAGAGCACUGUUUCGGCAAGGGGGUCAUCCCGACUUACCAACCCGAUGCAAACUGCGAAUACCGGAGAAUGUUAUCACGGGAGACACACGGCGGGUGCUAACGUCCGUCGUGAAGAGGGAAACAACCCAGACCGCCAGCUAAGGUCCCAAAGUCAUGGUUAAGUGGGAAACGAUGUGGGAAGGCCCAGACAGCCAGGAUGUUGGCUUAGAAGCAGCCAUCAUUUAAAGAAAGCGUAAUAGCUCACUGGUCGAGUCGGCCUGCGCGGAAGAUGUAACGGGGCUAAACCAUGCACCGAAGCUGCGGCAGCGACACUAUGUGUUGUUGGGUAGGGGAGCGUUCUGUAAGCCUGCGAAGGUGUACUGUGAGGUAUGCUGGAGGUAUCAGAAGUGCGAAUGCUGACAUAAGUAACGAUAAAGCGGGUGAAAAGCCCGCUCGCCGGAAGACCAAGGGUUCCUGUCCAACGUUAAUCGGGGCAGGGUGAGUCGACCCCUAAGGCGAGGCCGAAAGGCGUAGUCGAUGGGAAACAGGUUAAUAUUCCUGUACUUGGUGUUACUGCGAAGGGGGGACGGAGAAGGCUAUGUUGGCCGGGCGACGGUUGUCCCGGUUUAAGCGUGUAGGCUGGUUUUCCAGGCAAAUCCGGAAAAUCAAGGCUGAGGCGUGAUGACGAGGCACUACGGUGCUGAAGCAACAAAUGCCCUGCUUCCAGGAAAAGCCUCUAAGCAUCAGGUAACAUCAAAUCGUACCCCAAACCGACACAGGUGGUCAGGUAGAGAAUACCAAGGCGCUUGAGAGAACUCGGGUGAAGGAACUAGGCAAAAUGGUGCCGUAACUUCGGGAGAAGGCACGCUGAUACGUAGGUGAAGUCCCUCGCGGAUGGAGCUGAAAUCAGUCGAAGAUACCAGCUGGCUGCAACUGUUUAUUAAAAACACAGCACUGUGCAAACACGAAAGUGGACGUAUACGGUGUGACGCCUGCCCGGUGCCGGAAGGUUAAUUGAUGGGGUUAGCGGUAACGCGAAGCUCUUGAUCGAAGCCCCGGUAAACGGCGGCCGUAACUAUAACGGUCCUAAGGUAGCGAAAUUCCUUGUCGGGUAAGUUCCGACCUGCACGAAUGGCGUAAUGAUGGCCAGGCUGUCUCCACCCGAGACUCAGUGAAAUUGAACUCGCUGUGAAGAUGCAGUGUACCCGCGGCAAGACGGAAAGACCCCGUGAACCUUUACUAUAGCUUGACACUGAACAUUGAGCCUUGAUGUGUAGGAUAGGUGGGAGGCUUUGAAGUGUGGACGCCAGUCUGCAUGGAGCCGACCUUGAAAUACCACCCUUUAAUGUUUGAUGUUCUAACGUUGGCCCCUAAUCGGGGUUGCGGACAGUGUCUGGUGGGUAGUUUGACUGGGGCGGUCUCCUCCUAAAGAGUAACGGAGGAGCACGAAGGUUGGCUAAUCCUGGUCGGACAUCAGGAGGUUAGUGCAAUGGCAUAAGCCAGCUUGACUGCGAGCGUGACGGCGCGAGCAGGUGCGAAAGCAGGUCAUAGUGAUCCGGUGGUUCUGAAUGGAAGGGCCAUCGCUCAACGGAUAAAAGGUACUCCGGGGAUAACAGGCUGAUACCGCCCAAGAGUUCAUAUCGACGGCGGUGUUUGGCACCUCGAUGUCGGCUCAUCACAUCCUGGGGCUGAAGUAGGUCCCAAGGGUAUGGCUGUUCGCCAUUUAAAGUGGUACGCGAGCUGGGUUUAGAACGUCGUGAGACAGUUCGGUCCCUAUCUGCCGUGGGCGCUGGAGAACUGAGGGGGGCUGCUCCUAGUACGAGAGGACCGGAGUGGACGCAUCACUGGUGUUCGGGUUGUCAUGCCAAUGGCACUGCCCGGUAGCUAAAUGCGGAAGAGAUAAGUGCUGAAAGCAUCUAAGCACGAAACUUGCCCCGAGAUGAGUUCUCCCUGACUCCUUGAGAGUCCUGAAGGAACGUUGAAGACGACGACGUUGAUAGGCCGGGUGUGUAAGCGCAGCGAUGCGUUGAGCUAACCGGUACUAAUGAACCGUGAGGCUUAACCUU